rnacentral:lncRNA from 1 species
CAGCAACUUGUCAGCCUCUAAUACAUGUUUCUGCUUAUCCCUGAACAACUCAUCCUGACUCAUCCCACAACUGCUCACGAUUCAGUCUGAACAUGUCUCACUCAGCCAUGACACCCAGGAGACAGGGCCUUCAAGCUUGAUUCUGUAUUCCCCUUCCCCUGAUACGAUCACAUGUAAUAGAUGCAUGUGAAGCUAUGGGAAGAAAUGAGGUGGUUGAGAACAAGAGUGAAUGGUGAGAAGGAACCAGGACUGACCCCUGUAGGACACUAACAGUCAGAGGCCAGAGACAGGAGGCACAGUCAGCAAGGGAAGCCAAGAAGAAGUGAUGAAAGAAGUAGACAGAAAAUCAGGAGAACAGGACUCAGAAGUCAAGAGACAAAAGUGCUUCAGCCUGGAGGGGGAGGCCAGCAGGAUCAAAUGCUGCUGAGAGAAUUCACAUAUGAAGCUGACUAAAAGAUACACAAUGGACUUGGCAACAGAAAGAUCAUUGGUGACUUUAGCAAACUUCCGUGUCCAUGAUCAGGUUUUGCAUACCAGUGAAACUAGUGACAUCGGCUGGUCUAAAGGACCCCACAAGCAGUUGACUCAAAGAACAAAGUUUCCAAGUUCUGAUUUUCAUACCCCUUCCUCGAUCAAUCAACAACCACAAUUUUCUAGCCCCUUGCCCUUCAUAAUUCUCUUAAAAACCCCAGCCCAGAACCCCUCAGAGAUGGAUUCGAGGGUCUCCUUCCAUCUCCUUGCUCAGCCACCCUACAAUCAUUAAAGGCUUUCUCUGCUGCAAACCUUGCUGUCUUGGUAUAUUGGUAUGUCACUUCACAGUGGGCAUACAAAACUGUUGGUCCUGUAACAGUAUACAUCUAUUGGUUUGGGAUGCCAGCAUUCCUUACCCACUUCUGGUAACAUCACCUCUUUCUCUUAGAGAAUCCUCUGACAUCUUGUGGUCUUCAAAAGGCCUCCCAAUCACAGUACUUACCACCCCCUGGCCAAAGACUGAACAUGACUCUACUGACCAAUCACAUUGCCCCAUCUCCUUGGCUACAGUGACUUGCAUGUGACCAGUAAGGCCAAUCAGAGACUCUCUCUAAAAAUCUUUACUUGUAUAUGCUGAGAAAUGUUUUCUUUGGCCUUUGGUUUUUUGGAAUGAUGUAACUCUGAGGCUGUCUGUAGCUAUGAUAUUCCCUUUCUCAGUCACCACUAUCACCAGUUUCUUAACAUGUGUUCGUGUGUUGGAUGGGGGCAUAGACUUACAGACAAUAGAUGACAGAUACAGUGACAGAGAAGAACAGGGGCUUAUGGGAGAUUAUCUGCUCAAGACAAGUGAUGAACUAGAAAGGCCAAACUCUCUUUGAAG